ACGGGUGAGUAACACGUGGGCAAUCUGCCCUUCACUCUGGGACAAGCCCUGGAAACGGGGUCUAAUACCGGAUAUCACUUCCACUCGCAUGGGUGGGGGUUGAAAGCUCCGGCGGUGAAGGAUGAGCCCGCGGCCUAUCAGCUUGUUGGUGAGGUAACGGCUCACCAAGGCGACGACGGGUAGCCGGCCUGAGAGGGCGACCGGCCACACUGGGACUGAGACACGGCCCAGACUCCUACGGGAGGCAGCAGUGGGGAAUAUUGCACAAUGGGCGAAAGCCUGAUGCAGCGACGCCGCGUGAGGGAUGACGGCCUUCGGGUUGUAAACCUCUUUCAGCAGGGAAGAAGCGAAAGUGACGGUACCUGCAGAAGAAGCGCCGGCUAACUACGUGCCAGCAGCCGCGGUAAUACGUAGGGCGCAAGCGCUGUCCGGAAUUAUUGGGCGUAAAGAGCUCGUAGGCGGUCUGUCGCGUCGGAUGUGAAAGCCCGGGGCUUAACCCCGGGUCUGCAUUCGAUACGGGCAGACUAGAGUGUGGUAGGGGAGAUCGGAAUUCCUGGUGUAGCGGUGAAAUGCGCAGA
rnacentral:rRNA from 1 species